CAAUAGCGUAUAUUAAUGUUGUUGCAGUUAAAAAGCUCGUAGUUGGAUUUCUGGUGGGAGCGGCCGGUCCGCCGUAAGGUGUGUACUUGGUUGUCUCCUGUCAUCCUUGUGGGAACUGCUCUGGCAUUAAGUUGUCGGGGUUAGGGAACACAUCGUUUACUGUGAAAAAAUUAGAGUGUUUAAAGCAGGCUUAUGCCGUUGAAUACAUUAGCAUGGAAUGAUAAGAUAGGACUUUGGCGUCUAUUUUGUUGGUUUGCACACCAAGGUAAUGAUUAAUAGGGAUAGUUGGGGGUAUUCGUAUUUAAUUGUCAGAGGUGAAAUUCUUGGAUUUAUGAAAGACGAACUUCUGCGAAAGCAUUUACCAAAGAUGUUUUCAUUAA
rnacentral:rRNA from 1 species